rnacentral:rRNA from 1 species
AUUGAACGCUGGCGGCAGGCUUAACACAUGCAAGUCGAGCGGAGCGAGGGUGCUUGCACCUUAGCUUAGCGGCGGACGGGUGAGUAAUGCUUAGGAAUCUGCCUAUUAGUGGGGGACAACAUUCCGAAAGGGAUGCUAAUACCGCAUACGCCCUACGGGGGAAAGCAGGGGAUCUUCGGACCUUGCGCUAAUAGAUGAGCCUAAGUCGGAUCAGCUAGUUGGUGGGGUAAAGGCCUACAAAGGCGACAAUCUGUAGCGGGUCUGAGAGGAUGAUCCGCCACACUGGGACUGAGACACGGCCCAGACUCCUACGGGAGGCAGCAGUGGGGAAUAUUGGACAAUGGGGGGAACCCUGAUCCAGCCAUGCCGCGUGUGUGAAGAAGGCCUUUUGGUUGUAAAGCACUUUAAGCGAGGAGGAGGCGCUCUAGGAUAAUACCCUAGAUGCGUGGACGUUACUCGCAGAAUAAGCACCGGCUAACUCUGUGCCAGCCGCCGCAGUAACAC